ACUCCUACGGGAGGCAGCAGUAGGGAAUCUUCCACAAUGGACGAAAGUCUGAUGGAGCAACGCCGCGUGAACGAUGAAGGCUUCGGGUCGUAAAGUUCUGUUGUAAGGGAAGAACAAGUGCCGCAGGCAAUGGCGGCACCUUGACGGUACCUUGCGAGAAAGCCACGGCUAACUACGUGCCAGCAGCCGCGGUAAUACGUAGGUGGCAAGCGUUGUCCGGAAUUAUUGGGCGUAAAGCGCGCGCAGGCGGCCUCUUAAGUCUGAUGUGAAAGCCCCGGCUCAACCGGGGGAGGGCCAUUGGAAACUGGGAGGCUUGAGUAUAGGAGAGAAGAGUGGAAUUCCACGUGUAGCGGUGAAAUGCGUAGAGAUGUGGAGGAACACCAGUGGCGAAGGCGACUCUUUGGCCUAUAACUGACGCUGAGGCGCGAAAGCGUGGGGAGCAAACAGGAUUAGAUACCCUGGUAGGAUAGCG
rnacentral:rRNA from 1 species